CCAGACUCCUACGGGAGGCAGCAGUGGGGAAUAUUGCACAAUGGGCGAAAGCCUGAUGCAGCAACGCCGCGUGAAGGAAGACGGUUUUCGGAUUGUAAACUUCUGUUCUUAGUGAAGAAUAAUGACGGUAACUAAGGAGCAAGCCACGGCUAACUACGUGCCAGCAGCCGCGGUAAUACGGAGGAUGCGAGCGUUAUCCGGAUUUAUUGGGUUUAAAGGGUGCGUAGGCGGACGCUUAAGUCAGCGGUAAAAUUGGGGGGCUCAACCUCGUCGAGCCGUUGAAACUGGGUGCCUUGAGUGGGCGAGAAGUACGCGGAAUGCGUGGUGUAGCGGUGAAAUGCAUAGAUAUCACGCAGAACUCCGAUUGCGAAGGCAGCGUACCGGCGCCCAACUGACGCUGAAGCACGAAGGCGUGGGUAUCGAACAGGAUUAGAUACCCGUGUAA
rnacentral:rRNA from 1 species